rnacentral:rRNA from 1 species
ACAUGCAGUCGAGCGGACAGAAGGGAGCUUGCUCCCGGAUGUUAGCGGCGGACGGGUGAGUAACACGUGGGUAACCUGCCUGUAAGACUGGGAUAACUCCGGGAAACCGGAGCUAAUACCGGAUAGUUCCUUGAACCGCAKGGUUCAAGGAUGAAAGACGGUUUCGGCUGUCACUUACAGAUGGACCCGCGGCGCAUUAGCUAGUUGGUGGGGUAAUGGCUCACCAAGGCGACGAUGCGUAGCCGACCUGAGAGGGUGAUCGGCCACACUGGGACUGAGACACGGCCCAGACUCCUACGGGAGGCAGCAGUAGGGAAUCUUCCGCAAUGGACGAAAGUCUGACGGAGCAACGCCGCGUGAGUGAUGAAGGUUUUCGGAUCGUAAAGCUCUGUUGUUAGGGAAGAACAAGUGCGAGAGUAACUGCUCGCACCUUGACGGUACCUAACCAGAAAGCCACGGCUAACUACGUGCCAGCAGCCGCGGUAAUACGUAGGUGGCAAGCGUUGUCCGGAAUUAUUGGGCGUAAAGGGCUCGCAGGCGGUUUCUUAAGUCUGAUGUGAAAGCCCCCGGCUCAACCGGGGAGGGUCAUUGGAAACUGGGAAACUUGAGUGCAGAAGAGGAGAGUGGAAUUCCACGUGUAGCGGUGAAAUGCGUAGAGAUGUGGAGGAACACCAGUGGCGAAGGCGACUCUCUGGUCUGUAACUGACGCUGAGGAGCGAAAGCGUGGGGAGCGAACAGGAUUAGAUACCCUGGUAGUCCACGCCGUAAACGAUGAGUGCUAAGUGUUAGGGGGUUUCCGCCCCUUAGUGCUGCAGCUAACGCAUUAAGCACUCCGCCUGGGGAGUACGGUCGCAAGACUGAAACUCAA